rnacentral:rRNA from 1 species
GAUCAUGGCUCAGGAUGAACGCUGGCGGCGUGCUUAACACAUGCAAGUCGAGCGAAGCGCUUUUGUCGGAUUUCUUUCGGAUUGAAGCAACUGUGACUGAGCGGCGGACGGGUGAGUAACGCGUGGGUAACCUACCUCAUACAGGGGGAUAACAGUUGGAAACGGCUGCUAAUACCGCAUAAGCGCACAGUACCGCAUGGUACCGUGUGAAAAACUCCGGUGGUAUGAGAUGGACCCGCGU